CUCUUGGAUAGUUCGAUCUCGCCAGUCUCUAGUCUCUACCAGCGUUCGAGCCCUCAUGUCAGAACUCAGAACCCCGGGAUCUGACACCUCAGCCGUCGCCGUCGCCGCCGCCGCCGGCGGCACAUGCGUCGGCACCGCCGCUGAAGCUUCUCUCUCCUCCCUCUCCGGGAUUGGUGCGGAAUGGAUCGGGGAUAUACGGGUUUCUUCUCUUCGUAAGGUAUGCCCUAGCUCUUUCCUAGUAUCGAUUUCACUCCUGAACUAGUUCGUUCUGCGUUAAACUACGGGAAUCUAUUCCAAAUCGAAAUGUUCCGAUUAGUGUACAUGCGCCCAUGGUUUAGGCGUGGACCUCUGUAUAGAAUGCCCAUAUUAACUCUUGCGUAGGAUGCAUUUGAUGCAUAUGAAGCCCUUAAUGCAUUUCCGGAUGACAUAUGGGAUAAUAAACAACGAUAUUUCCAUUAUCUUGAAAAGAUAUGGGAUAAUUAACAAGUAACAACGACAUUUUCUUUUACGGACAAGUCAUAGGAGCGAGCAAAUGAUCAAACCAUCUCCAAAACAGAUGCAGUAAAAUAGCAUUUCCUUUCACCGUCCAGAAAUGUAGCUUAUUUCUGACAUCCCACCGGUAGGACCAGACUGUGAGGAACUGCCCUCGUUGUCGUAGCUUGUUGUUGUAGCUCCAGAAAUCAUCAAGUGGAACUGCCGUGGAAUGUCUGCAUCCAUGACGUUCUUCUCUUGAGGGGUUGAUGUAACCGAUCGUUUCUCACUUGAAAUAGCCACCGUAAACAACACCUUAAGCACAGAAACAACCUCAGUCAUGCUUGGCCUGUCAAUUGAUGUGUUUUCAAGGCAGUUCAUUGCAAGGUCUAUCACAGUUUGCAGGUGAGUGGCAUCGUAUUGAUCUAACAGUUUCUUGUCCACAACAUCGUGGAUGCUUCCCUUAUCAAUCUUUUGCCGCACCCAAUUUGGCAAGUGGACGGUUUGGGGAUCCAUAAAUACUGGGGGUUGACCAGUGACAAUCUCCAAGAGGACAAUUCCAAAACUGUAAACGUCUGUCUUAACGGUAAGUUGGAAAGUAGCAUGAUACUCAGGGUCAAGGUAACCAAGGGUGCCGGCAACAACAGUAGAUAUAUGCGUGUGAGCUGCAUUAAAAGCCCGUGAAAGCCCAAAAUCAGAUAUCUUGGCCACCAGAUUCUUGUCCAGAAGGAUGUUGGGUGUCUUCACAUCUCUGUGAACUAUUGACGGGCUGCAUGAUUCAUGUAGAUACUCCAGUCCUAUAUCCAUUGAAAUUCAUGUUUUAAACACAGUGCACACACAUAUGUGCUAAAAAAGUUGGAUGUGUAUUUCAAAAUACAGACCUUGUGCAGCAUCAAGUGCAAUGUGAAGUCGUUCUUCCCAAUUCAAACUACUAUCAUAUCCUGCAUCAAAGUGUGCGAAAUUAGUACUAUAGAAGGCCAUUCAAUAUGUGUAUGGUUGUGCAAAUACUGCUAUAUGUCAUUUGGAUAAUUUGAGGUUAUCAAGGGAUGACUAUAUUGAAAAAAAGAAUAGCAGCACUUGGUGUAAUAAUAUUCCAAUCUAUAUUUGUAUGUAUAUAAGCAGUCACUUUGACCUUUAAAAGGAUACCAGGUUUCCUUCUCUUUCGUAGAGCACCUUUUUAUAAAUUUCAAUUAACAAGGUUACCAAUCAACUGAUGGAAAAUUAAGAAUAUGUAGCUUUAAGAGUACAACGCCUUACGAUUGUCGUUUUAUUAGUCAGCUGUCUAUAUAUGUAUUGACUGGUACCAAUAGCUGUCUAGGCAACCAGACCUUUACAUUCUAUGCUCACCUACGUGCUGUCCAUCCAGUUUUGUAGAAUUAGCAGAAGUUUGCCUCUUACAUGAUACUAACUUACGAGAAUCUUGCUUACUACUUCGCAAUUCCCUAUAUCUAUGACCAUACGUCCAUACAUUCUCUAUAUCUACGACCAUACAGGUUCAAAGUUUAAACAAACUAGCAGUAAUAGACUAGUCACCUGCAACAAGAAUAUCCCGUUGACACUGGAUUUGAAACCCUAACUACUUUUAUCGCAUAGUUUUUCUUUUUCCCCUGUGUCAAAUAUGCUUUAGCUGAUUAUUCCCAAUUAAGCGUUAUGAGCUUGACAUGAUUUAUUGUUUUAUUGUUGAAAAUUUGAAAACUACUUUGUUCCCAGUAAUUAGCGAAAUCUGUUGAUGGCUAUGAGUUGUUCCGCAAUGUGAACCUUGAAUUGUCCGACCUCUUUUCUGUUUGAACUGAUUUCAGGUUUGAAUGAUUCAGUUUUGUUGAGUCAGAAGUAUGACUGAUCACAGUAGAAAAUUAAAAUAAAAUUGGUGAUCAUAACAAUGUGCAAUUCAGACCUGUAUGACUUAACUACUUGAGUCAACUCUUCUUGAUAGAAAUUUCAAGAAAUUGAAAGAGGAAAAAGGCAAAAACCUCCUCUUAAAAGCUGCUGAUGUCACGAGCUCCGGCGUAAGAACGUAUGGGAUAUGAAUGUGUGAUUGGCGGACGUGGACGAGGGGGUUUGGAGGAACGGCGACCCGUGAUGAACAGCAAGGGAUGAGCAAAUAGAGAAUAGGAGGUGAGAGAAUUAGAGAUUGAAUCUGCUUGAUUAACUCCUCCGAAUUGUGCCUCUAAAUAGGCUUACAACUGAUUAACCAAAUUACUGAAAACAAGCUAACAAACUGAUAAGGAAACUGGCUAACAGAACCUAUCCUAUCGCAAUACUGUUGCCGUCCGGCACGGCGGAUUACGUGCGCUGCGCUGCAUCUCCUGACGCCGUAUCCUGCAGCCCUGUGCGGCUUCUGCGUUGAUAUGUUAUCCCGACCAUGACAGCUGAAGAUUUCCUCUAGGCAUGAAAUCAUAAACAAGCGCAAGGCACUUCCUGUUUUGGCAAUAUCCCACCAAAGUGACAAGAUUCUUAUGAUGAACUUUGGACAAGGUUUGCACCUGCAGCAGGAUAUGCCAUUCAGGGCUGAAGUUAGAUACAUAUCUUUCUUGAAUAUAGACUAUAUGGGAAUUGCUUUAGAUGGCCUUCGAUCUACUUUUGUGCUGUUAAAUACCUCAGGGAGGAAGUCUUUUGACUCUGCUAUAGAUGUCUCCACAAGCACCUUAACAGCUACUUCAUCGUUAUUUUCCAGUAUGCCAUGAUAAACAGUGCCAAAACCUCCUUUUCCAAUGAUUGAUUGGAAGUUGUUAGUUAUGAGCUUCAGCUCUGCAUAUGUGAACCGUUUGAUGUCGAUAUGUAAUGGAGCUUCCUCUUCAUAAAUAGAAUAAUCUUCUUGUUCUGCUGAUUUUCCUGCAAACUCCAACCUUUAUUUACAUGAAAGUACAGCUAUUACUAAUGUACACCAAACAAGCAAUCAUUAAACCACCCAUUGCAUUGAUUCAAAAGGACUUCAGAGACUAAUGUUUUAUUUUACCUUUCCAGCACAGCCUCCAGAGGAUACAAACCAGUACAAGGAGUAGGAGGGAUACCACAGGAACUAUCACUGCGAUGAGCAAGAUAGGUGUGCUGUUCUUAUUUGCGCAGUACCUAUCUUUGACUUUUGAGCAUAUGGGAUUGCCUUCUAGUCUAAUAUGCCAUUAUACAAGUUAUUAGUCAGAUAAAAAACAAAUAGAAUCAGCUGAGGAAAGAAAAACUUAGCUAUAUCAACCUUUUCAAAUCAUGAUUGUAACAUGCUUCUGAAUUUUAGUGCUUCUGAACAACCAUUUCUCUAAAGGCAGAACUAUUACAUGCUUUAUAAAGUGCAUGCCUUCGCUAAUAGAUCUAUUUUGUCCCUGUUUUGUUGGAAAUCAUGUAGAUGCUAAAGCAUUUAUAAUCACUAGAGUCUACUACGUGCAAUUUACCUUUUUCAGUUGUUUUUCGAUAAUGUGGUCGUUGUUUAUGAACCUUUAAUUGAUUGAUACUGUUGUUCUGUGAUAACCAGUGUUGGUUUUAGUCUUUUCCUUUUGGAGUAGUUAUUUUGUUAGAUUCUUUUUUUAAUAUCAAUGAGGAGCCAUGCAACUAUGCAAGGGAGUGUUCCCAAACCUCAAUUCAAGCUGUCCUGCCUUAAACCUUUGAAGAAUAGAAUCCGGGAUUGGUCCAUCAAGUUGGUUAUUUGAUAGGUUGCUGAAAAGAGUAGUUUAAAUGAUUCAUCCAUCUAAAAUUCUAUAUCAACUAAAGAUUAAUUUGAAGCUUACAGCACUCUGAGUGAAUUGAGUUGAUAGUCUGGAAUUGCGCCUGUCAAGUUGUUGUGCGAUAAAUCCCUAUAUAUGUUUUUGUGUUCAGUGUCCACAUAAUUUCAUUUAGCUCUGGAUGCAAUGUGGUAAGAAGAAGCACUUACAAGUUCUCCAGUGAUGCCAUUUUCAUGAAUGCUAUGUGUAAUCCACCUAUUAAUCCGCUGGCUGACAGAUUACUGCGAAUGAACACAUCGUAAUACUUGUCAGAUAAUUUAGUCAUGGCAUCUUAAGACAAUAAUACACAUGACUAGGUAUACAUAUAAUGACUGUAAUAGUACAUUUAAAGGCAAAUAUAUUUGGAUCAGCAUAUAUUGACUCCAAAGGUUAAAAUCAUGAUGACAUUAUGAGGUUCGGAUUUCAGAAUAGAUAUGUACUUUACGGUUUUGUCAUGUACUUACAUUCGGGUGAUCCUUGGAUUUUUGUUUCCAUUAGCGUAGUCGCAAGCCAGACCUUGCCAGGAAUACUCUCUUGGGGAGCAUGGAUCUCCAUUCCAGUUUCUUGUGUAACUGUAGUACUUCUUCACUUCUUUCAUGUAAUCAACUACAGCAACAGAAGGAUAAUUAAAUCAAACAUGAAUGGAAUAAAGGAAUUGCUGCGUUUGUUGAACCUGUGGGCUUGCAUGAUUAGUUGAUCAGUAAGUUGUAGACAUUCACUUAUUGAGUCGCUAGAUAAUUUUAUGAUUUAAAUGUUAUCUUUAACUUGUAAUUAUUCAUUUCUCUACUUUUUCUUAAGAAAAAAAUUCAUUUAUCUGUUUUUAGAUUAAAUUCAUUUCUCUGCUAGUAGUCUUUGCUCUCAAUAAAGCUAAUGGAUUCUUUUGUAGACCACAUGCUGCCGUGCACGAUGAUCGUAUGAACCUGCGCCAUAAAUAGCACACGUCUAAUUUGUACCCCAAUCUGUUACUGAUCGUAAUCGUACCGUCGUCUGGAGAAGUGGUGAGGUUGUCUGUAUGAACAAGCGAGUACACCUCGA
rnacentral:lncRNA from 1 species